rnacentral:rRNA from 1 species
GGGAGGCAGCAGUAGGGAAUCUUCGGCAAUGGACGAAAGUCUGACCGAGCAACGCCGCGUGAGUGAAGAAGGUUUUCGGAUCGUAAAACUCUGUUGUUAGAGAAGAACAAGGAUGAGAGUAACUGUUCAUCCCUUGACGGUAUCUAACCAGAAAGCCACGGCUAACUACGUGCCAGCAGCCGCGGUAAUACGUAGGUGGCAAGCGUUGUCCGGAUUUAUUGGGCGUAAAGCGAGCGCAGGCGGUUUCUUAAGUCUGAUGUGAAAGCCCCCGGCUCAACCGGGGAGGGUCAUUGGAAACUGGGAGACUUGAGUGCAGAAGAGGAGAGUGGAAUUCCAUGUGUAGCGGUGAAAUGCGUAGAUAUAUGGAGGAACACCAGUGGCGAAGGCGGCUCUCUGGUCUGUAACUGACGCUGAGGCUCGAAAGCGUGGGGAGCAAACAGGAUUAGAUACCCUGGU